rnacentral:rRNA from 1 species
UGGGGAAUUUUGGACAAUGGGCGAAAGCCUGAUCCAGCAAUGCCGCGUGUGUGAAGAAGGCCUUCGGGUUGUAAAGCACUUUUGUCCGGAAAGAAAUCCUUGGCUCUAAUACAGUCGGGGGAUGACGGUACCGGAAGAAUAAGCACCGGCUAACUACGUGCCAGCAGCCGCGGUAAUACGUAGGGUGCAAGCGUUAAUCGGAAUUACUGGGCGUAAAGCGUGCGCAGGCGGUUUGCUAAGACCGAUGUGAAAUCCCCGGGCUCAACCUGGGAACUGCAUUGGUGACUGGCAGGCUAGAGUAUGGCAGAGGGGGGUAGAAUUCCACGUGUAGCAGUGAAAUGCGUAGAGAUGUGGAGGAAUACCGAUGGCGAAGGCAGCCCCCUGGGCCAAAUACUGACGCUCAUGCACGAAAGCGUGGGGAGCAAAACAGGAUUAGAUACCCUGGUAGUCCACGCCCUAAACGAUGUCAACUAGUUGUUGGGGAUUCAUUUCCUUAGUAACGUAGCUAACGCGUGAAGUUGACCGCCUGGGGAGUACGGUCGCAAGAUUAAAACUCAAAUGAAUUGACGGGGUCAUAGCU